rnacentral:lncRNA from 1 species
UACAUAAUUUCAUUCACUUCAAUUAAGAAGACGCAUUAUAUGUCAAAUCAUUAUCUAACUUUUUACCCAUUUAGACUCUAAUAUGAAUGAAUUCAUAUAUUAUAAAAACAGUGUAAUUUCUUAACAUGAAAGUAGAUGAUUUAUAUGAAGAUCAUCUAAAGGUGUGACACCUAAUUCACAUUGUUAUAUAUUUAAUACUUCUCAAGUAUUGAAAAGAAUAAAGUUACCGAAUAUUAAAACUGUCUUGGCAAAUUAAGCACCCAUAGUCACAUACAUGGCCUUGGGUUUGGUAAUGGAACAUGAUCCAUGUAAUGCAUAGUCAAGCAUGAAGGGCUAUCUGAUAAUGAUCAAAGGAUUACGUUUGAUAAU